GUAGUAGGAACAUAAUCUGACUUGGCCCAGAGUCUGCGGGAAAAUGUCCUCACUAAGUCUUCUAGCAUGGAAGAGGAAUGUGGAGCUGAGGAACUGAAACUUUUGAUCUUGAGGCUGAUUGUCUCCCUUGGGUUGAUGCAGUGUUGGAUCUAGCUGACUUUUCCUGUAGUCAGACUUCCUGGCAGACUUUGACUUCUCUGCAUGCUCCUGUGCUGUUCCACCAACAAGUCCAGUUUUCUGUCCUUGAUGUCAGGGUGCUGUGUGAAGAGUCCUGUGUUUACCUCUAUCUCUGACCUGGAAGUUUAUAUUUGACGUUGGUGUUACUUGCAGACCAUUAUCUCCAGAAAAAGGCCAACAUGCUGUUAUUGAAAUUUUAAUAUUUUGACCCAAAGGUGUUGCUCUU